AUGCAUGUGUAUCACUAUGGACAUCUAAUGCUUUUGUGGGAUUUUCUCAAACAGCUCCCAGAUACUGACAAAGAUGUCCUCAUAAAGAAAUGGGAGGACGAGAUCAGACUGUUCCUUUCUCCUGAAGCUAUUUCUGUUGGAGAUGCUCUGGAAUUGCAAGAAGGGUCGAGAGUUACUGUCAGAGGGACAUUUAAGGAGAAUUGCCAUUACGGCCAUAAUCAUGGCCAGCUUGAUCGGCCUGGGCAUUUUGCUGCGGUAUCUCCUCAGGAGAUACCGCAACUACAUUUUGCGGAGGGGGAGGCGGGAACCAUUACGGCUGCGCCACGUGAAGUUGCAAGGGUAGAUCUAGACCAUUCAUACCGCCGGACCCUGGCCGCUGCGCAGGAAGUUGAAGCGGCCACACUGACCGCCAUUAAGAAGGAGCCGGUGACUCUCCAUUCCUGCCACUGCACCCUGGCCGCGGCACAGGAACUCCACCACGCCAUCAAAAAGGAACCGGUAUCCCCCCGCUCCUGUCGCCGGACUCUGUCCAUGCCAGUGAUCUCUCCGAGGAAGGACCCCUACCUCAGGGACGAGCUGAUUGCUUUGUAAUCUUAAUCAUCUGAUUAAACCCGAUAACAAAACUUUUAAACUUGCUUGGUGUUUUUCCCCACUGUUUUCCUAUAUG
rnacentral:sRNA from 1 species